AAUAGAUACCCCGGUAGUCCACGCCGUAAACGAUGAGUGCUAAGUGUUAGGGGGUUUCCGCCCCUUAGUGCUGCAGCUAACGCAUUAAGCACUCCGCCUGGGGAGUACGGUCGCAAGACUGAAACUCAAAGGAAUUGACGGGGGCCCGCACAAGCGGUGGAGCAUGUGGUUUAAUUCGAAGCAACGCGAAGAACCUUACCAGGUCUUGACAUCCCAUUGACCACUAUGGAGACAUAGUUUUCCCUUCGGGGACAACGGUGACAGGUGGUGCAUGGUUGUCGUCAGCUCGUGUCGUGAGAUGUUGGGUUAAGUCCCGCAACGAGCGCAACCCUUGUUCUUAGUUGCCAUCAUUUAGUUGGGCACUCUAAGGAGACUGCCGGUGACAAACCGGAGGAAGGUGGGGAUGACGGUCAAAUCAUCAUGCCCCUUAUGACCUGGGCUACACACGUGCUACAAUGGACGGUACAAACGGUUGCCAACCCGCGAGGGGGAGCUAAUCCGAUAAAACCGUUCUCAGUUCGGAUUGUAGGCUGCAACUCGCCUACAUGAAGCC
rnacentral:rRNA from 1 species